GAUGAAGAACGCAGCGAAAGGCGAUAAGUAAUGUGAAUUGCAGAAUUCAGUGAAUCAUCGAAUCUUUGAACGCACAUUGCGCCCGCCAGUAUUCUGGCGGGCAUGCCUGUUCGAGCGUCAUUACAACCCUCAGGCCCCCGGGCCUGGCGUUGGGGAUCGGCGGAGCCCCCCGUGGGCACACGCCGUCCCCCAAAUACAGUGGCGGUCCCGCCGCAGCUUCCAUCGCGUAGUAGCUAACACCUCGCGACUGGAGAGCGGCGCGGCCACGCCGUAAAACACCCAACUCUUCUGAAGUUGACCUCGAAUCAGGUAGGAAUACCCGCUGAACUUAAGCAUAUCAAUAAGCGGAGGA
rnacentral:misc_RNA from 1 species